rnacentral:rRNA from 1 species
CGCGUAGGUGGUAGUGUAAGUCUGAGGUGGAAUCCCAGGGCUUAACUCUGGAACUGCCUUGGAAACUGCAUUACUUGAGUCAGUGAGGGGAGGGUAGAAUUCCUGGUGUAGCGGUGAAAUGCGUAGAUAUCAGGAGGAAGGCCUGUGGCGAAGGCGGCCCUCUGGUGCUGGACUGACACUGAGGCGCGAAAGCGUGGGGAGCAAACAGGAUUAGAUACCCUGGUAGUCCACGCCCUAAACGGUGGGCACUAGGUGUAGGGCUCGUAAGGGUUCUGUGCCGAAGGGAAACCAUUAAGUGCCCCGCCGUGGGGAGUACGGCCGCAAGGUUGAA